rnacentral:rRNA from 1 species
UAACGUCAGCGGCAGACGGGUGAGUAACGCGUGGGAACAUACCUUUUGGUUCGGAACAACACAGGGAAACUUGUGCUAAUACCGGAUAAGCCCUUACGGGGAAAGAUUUAUCGCCGAAAGAUUGGCCCGCGUCUGAUUAGCUAGUUGGUGAGGUAACGGCUCACCAAGGCGACGAUCAGUAGCUGGUCUGAGAGGAUGAUCAGCCACAUUGGGACUGAGACACGGCCCAA